rnacentral:rRNA from 1 species
GCAAGUCUGGUGCCAGCAGCCGCGGUAAUUCCAGCUCCAAUAGCGUAUAUUAAAGUUGUUGCAGUUAAAAAGCUCGUAGUUGAACCUUGGGUCUGGCUGGCCGGUCCGCCUCACCGCGUGUACUGGUCCGGCCGGACCUUUCCUUCUGGGGAAUCGCAUGCCCCUCACUGGGUGUGUCGAGGAUCCAGGACUUUUACUUUGAAAAAAUUAGAGUGUUCAAAGCAGGCCUAUGCUCGAAUACAUUAGCAUGGAAUAAUAGAAUAGGACGUGUGGUUCUAUUUUGUUGGUUUCUAGGACCGCCGUAAUGAUUAAUAGGGAUAGUCGGGGGCAUCAGUAUUCAAUUGUCAGAGGUGAAAUUCUUGGAUUUAUUGAAGACUAACUACUGCGAAAGCAUUUGCCAA